AGACUUAACCGCGUAAGUGAUAGCUUAGUUUUUAUGCUGUUUGGACAUACGAAAAACUCAAUGAUUCUGUAAUGGAUAAACCGUGUGAAAGUAAGAUUAUUAGACCAGACCCGUUACUAAAAGACAGUGAAAAAUAUCAACUAAGACUAAAAAUUAUGAAAAUUGUAUAUAUUUUUAUUCAUUUCUUUAUUAAGUGAUAAUACUUAAUUUAAAUGCCAAACUCAAACCAAUCAGUGGGAUUCGAGCCAUGGCUAAAAGAAAACCCAAAAAUUAUGUACGCUGCAGCGUUUAUAACGUUGCUUAUUAUGUGUAUUGGAAUUAUAGGAAAUAGUUUAACUAUAUUAGUAAUACUAAAAAGUCCACGAAUUCGAAAUAUAGCUUCAACGUUUAUCAUCAGCUUAGGUGCAGCUGAUUUGUUAUUUUGCAUAGCUGUAUUACCAUUUAAUGCUUCAAGAUUUUUGAAUAUUAAUUGGGUACAAUACCAAGAACUCUGUUCAAUUGUACCAUUUUUACAAUACGGAAAUAUUGGAGUAUCGUUGCUAUUUAUUACUAUGAUCACUAUAAAUAGGUAUAUAAUGAUCGUUCAUUCAAGCUUAUAUAAUAUAGUAUAUCGUCCAAUAUGGAUAACUUCUAUGAUUAUACUUUGUCUAAUUAUUUCAUUUGGCAUGCUGAUACCUACCCUUUUAAGUAAAUGGGGCAAAUUUGAAUAUGAUCCAAAGUUGGGUACGUGUUCAAUAGUAUCUGAUGAAUUUGGUCAAUCUUCGAAAUCUGCUCUUUUGGUCACUGGGUUCAUUAUACCAUGUAUUGUAAUUGUUUGCUGUUACACUGGUAUAUUUUUGGUUGUUCGUAAUUCAGAAAAACGAAUGCGAAGGCAUCAAACAUCCACUCAAAGUGAUCCAACAGCAACUCAUAUGCAGUCUAUAAGAAGGAAACUUAGUGAAUGGAGGAUAACUAAAAUGGUUUUGGCUAUAUUUUUAUCUUUUGUAUUUUGCUAUUUGCCAAUUACAAUCACAAAAACCUUAGAUCCAAAUGUUCAAUACCCAGCUCUUCUCUUGAUUGCAUAUAUUAUGAUUUACGCAUCAGCGUGCUUUAAUCCAAUUAUAUACGUCAUAAUGAAUAAACAGUAUAGAAAAGCAUUUAAAUCAGUUCUAAAUUGUGGAUGUUGUGAAAAAGCUACAAAACGAGUACCUGUUUUGAGAUCCAUAUCGAAACGUCUACAGCCACACGGUAACUUGACAUCAUCAACUGUCAUGCAAACAUUGCAAACAAUAAGCCCGGGUUAAGGGAGAGUGCCUUAACAUAUUGGAUUUUUUUAUGAACCUCAAACUCUGCAAUAGGAGUUCAAGAAGAUCGUGGAUUUGGAACAACUGUAUCACAUGUGUCAUCGAUUGCUUUAGAAUCAUUGGAUCAUAAUAACAAGAUUUCGCUUAUAGCA